rnacentral:rRNA from 1 species
UACAGAGGGGGCAAGCGUUAUUCGGAAUUAUUGGGCGUAAAGGGCGCGUAGGCGGCCUGGCAAGUGGAAGGUGAAAUCCCUCGGCUUAACCGAGGAACUGCCUCCCAAACUGCUUGGCUUGAGACCAGGAGAGGUGAGUGGAAUUCCCAGUGUAGCGGUGAAAUGCGUAGAUAUUCGGAGGAACACCAGUGGCGAAGGCGGCUCACUGGUCCAUUACUGACGCUGAGGUGCGAAAGCGUGGGGAGCAAACAGG